AAUUUUGGACAAUGGGCGCAAGCCUGAUCCAGCCAUGCCGCGUGAGUGAAGAAGGCCUUCGGGUUGUAAAGCUCUUUCGGACGGGAAGAAAUCGCGCAGGCUAAUACCCUGCGCGGAUGACGGGACCGCCAUUAGCAGCACCGGCUACCUCAGUGCCAGCAGCCGCGGUAAUACGUAGGGAGCGAGGGGUAAGCGGAAUUACUGGGCGUAAAGCGUUCGUAGGCGGUUGAUUAAGACAGGCGUGAAAUCCCCGGGCUUAACCUGGGAACUGCGCUUGUGACCGGUCAGCUAGAGUUCGGCAGAGGGGGGUGGAAUUCCUGGUGUAGCAGUGAAAUGCGUAGAGAUGUGGAGGAACACCGAUGGCGAAGGCAGCCCCCUGGGCCGAUACUGACGCUCAUGCACGAAAGCGUGGGUAGCAAACAGG
rnacentral:rRNA from 1 species